AGAGUUUGAUCAUGGCUCAGAUUGAACGCUGGCGGCAGGCCUAACACAUGCAAGUCGAACGGUAACAGGAAGAAGCUUGCUUCUUUGCUGACGAGUGGCGGACGGGUGAGUAAUGUCUGGGAAACUGCCUGAUGGAGGGGGAUAACUACUGGAAACGGUAGCUAAUACCGCAUAACGUCGCAAGACCAAAGAGGGGGACCUUCGGGCCUCUUGCCAUCGGAUGUGCCCAGAUGGGAUUAGCUUGUUGGUGGGGUAACGGCUCACCAAGGCGACGAUCCCUAGCUGGUCUGAGAGGAUGACCAGCCACACUGGAACUGAGACACGGUCCAGACUCCUACGGGAGGCAGCAGUGGGGAAUAUUGCACAAUGGGCGCAAGCCUGAUGCAGCCAUGCCGCGUGUAUGAAGAAGGCCUUCGGGUUGUAAAGUACUUUCAGCGGGGAGGAAGGGAGUAAAGUUAAUACCUUUGCUCAUUGACGUUACCCGCAGAAGAAGCACCGGCUAACUCCGUGCCAGCAGCCGCGGUAAUACGGAGGGUGCAAGCGUUAAUCGGAAUUACUGGGCGUAAAGCGCACGCAGGCGGUUUGUUAAGUCAGAUGUGAAAUCCCCGGGCUCAACCUGGGAACUGCAUCUGAUACUGGCAAGCUUGAGUCUCGUAGAGGGGGGUAGAAUUCCAGGUGUAGCGGUGAAAUGCGUAGAGAUCUGGAGGAAUACCGGUGGCGAAGGCGGCCCCCUGGACGAAGACUGACGCUCAGGUGCGAAAGCGUGGGGAGCAAACAGGAUUAGAUACCCUGGUAGUCCACGCCGUAAACGAUGUCGACUUGGAGGUUGUGCCCUUGAGGCGUGGCUUCCGGAGCUAACGCGUUAAGUCGACCGCCUGGGGAGUACGGCCGCAAGGUUAAAACUCAAAUGAAUUGACGGGGGCCCGCACAAGCGGUGGAGCAUGUGGUUUAAUUCGAUGCAACGCGAAGAACCUUACCUGGUCUUGACAUCCACAGAACUUUCCAGAGAUGGAUUGGUGCCUUCGGGAACUGUGAGACAGGUGCUGCAUGGCUGUCGUCAGCUCGUGUUGUGAAAUGUUGGGUUAAGUCCCGCAACGAGCGCAACCCUUAUCCUUUGUUGCCAGCGGUCCGGCCGGGAACUCAAAGGAGACUGCCAGUGAUAAACUGGAGGAAGGUGGGGAUGACGUCAAGUCAUCAUGGCCCUUACGACCAGGGCUACACACGUGCUACAAUGGCGCAUACAAAGAGAAGCGACCUCGCGAGAGCAAGCGGACCUCAUAAAGUGCGUCGUAGUCCGGAUUGGAGUCUGCAACUCGACUCCAUGAAGUCGGAAUCGCUAGUAAUCGUGGAUCAGAAUGCCACGGUGAAUACGUUCCCGGGCCUUGUACACACCGCCCGUCACACCAUGGGAGUGGGUUGCAAAAGAAGUAGGUAGCUUAACCUUCGGGAGGGCGCUUACCACCUUGUGAUUCAUGACUGGGGUGAAGUCGUAACAAGGUAACCGUAGGGGAACCUGCGGUUGGAUCACCU
rnacentral:rRNA from 1 species